rnacentral:tRNA from 1 species
UAGCUCAGAUGGUAAAGCAUCUGCCUGCAGUGCAGGAGACCCAGGUUUGAUUCCUAG